CCCCUGUAAAGGUAACACACACACACCGGAUCCACAUAGAACCCCCUGUAAAGGUAACACACACACCGGAUCCACAUAGAACCCCCUGUACAGCCAAUAGGAGUGCAGCUGGUCAGUAUUCAGACGAGUCCUAACGACCGCCUCCUCUGGGCCUUGGACAACAGAGGAAGCGUCUUUGUCAGGACCGGACUCAGUGAUGAGAUGCCUGUGGGGACGGACUGGGAGCUGGUACCAGGUCUGGCGGUCAGUCAGCUGGUCCUCAGCUCUCGGACAGUUUGGGUUCGGUGUGUAAACGGAGAUCUGGCUCGACGUUACGGCGUCUCUGACAGAAACCCUGCAGGAGACUACUGGAAGAAGAUCCCCGGAAACGCCAACUGGUUAACUGGU